CGAGCGAACAGACGAGGAGCUUGCUCCUCUGACGUUAGCGGCGGACGGGUGAGUAACACGUGGAUAACCUACCUAUAAGACUGGGAUAACUUCGGGAAACCGGAGCUAAUACCGGAUAAUAUAUUGAACCGCAUGGUUCAAUAGUGAAAGACGGUUUUGCUGUCACUUAUAGAUGGAUCCGCGCCGCAUUAGCUAGUUGGUAAGGUAACGGCUUACCAAGGCAACGAUGCGUAGCCGACCUGAGAGGGUGAUCGGCCACACUGGAACUGAGACACGGUCCAGACUCCUACGGGAGGCAGCAGUAGGGAAUCUUCCGCAAUGGGCGAAAGCCUGACGGAGCAACGCCGCGUGAGUGAUGAAGGUCUUCGGAUCGUAAAACUCUGUUAUUAGGGAAGAACAAAUGUGUAAGUAACUAUGCACGUCUUGACGGUACCUAAUCAGAAAGCCACGGCUAACUACGUGCCAGCAGCCGCGGUAAUACGUAGGUGGCAAGCGUUAUCCGGAAUUAUUGGGCGUAAAGCGCGCGUAGGCGGUUUUUUAAGUCUGAUGUGAAAGCCCACGGCUCAACCGUGGAGGGUCAUUGGAAACUGGAAAACUUGAGUGCAGAAGAGGAAAGUGGAAUUCCAUGUGUAGCGGUGAAAUGCGCAGAGAUAUGGAGGAACACCAGUGGCGAAGGCGACUUUCUGGUCUGUAACUGACGCUGAUGUGCGAAAGCGUGGGGAUCAAACAGGAU
rnacentral:rRNA from 1 species